UACGAAGGGGGCUAGCGUUGUUCGGAAUCACUGGGCGUAAAGGGCGCGUAGGCGGCCUGAUAAGUCGGGGGUGAAAGCCUGUGGCUCAACCACAGAAUUGCCUUCGAUACUGUUAGGCUUGAGACCGGAAGAGGUAAGUGGAACUGCGAGUGUAGAGGUGAAAUCCGUAGAUAUUCGCAAGAACACCAGUGGCGAAGGCGGCUUACUGGUCCGGUUCUGACGCUGAGGCGCGAAAGCGUGGGGAGCAAACAGG
rnacentral:rRNA from 1 species